rnacentral:tRNA from 1 species
CGGGGUAGUUUAGCCUGGUUAGAACGCCGGACUCAUAAUCCGGUAAUCGCGGGUUCAAAUCCCGCCCCCG